rnacentral:rRNA from 1 species
UGGGGAAUAUUGCACAAUGGGCGAAAGCCUGAUGCAGCAACGCCGCGUGAGCGAUGAAGGCCUUCGGGUCGUAAAGCUCUGUCCUCAAGGAAGAUAAUGACGGUACUUGAGGAGGAAGCCCCGGCUAACUACGUGCCAGCAGCCGCGGUAAUACGUAGGGGGCUAGCGUUAUCCGGAAUUACUGGGCGUAAAGGGUGCGUAGGCGGUCUUUCAAGUCAGGAGUGAAAGGCUACGGCUCAACCGUAGUAAGCUCUUGAAACUGUAAGACUUGAGUGCAGGAGAGGAGAGUAGAAUUCCUAGUGUAGCGGUGAAAUGCGUAGAUAUUAGGAGGAAUACCAGUUGCGAAGGCGGCUCUCUGGACUGUAACUGACGCUGAGGCACGAAAGCGUGGGGAGCAAACAGGAUUAGAUACCCUGGUAGUCCACGCCGUAAACGAUGAGUACUAGCUGUCGGAGGUUACCCCCUUCGGUGGCGCAGCUAACGCAUUAAGUACUCCGCCUGGGAAGUACGCUCGCAAGAGUG